CUGUCAUCAGAUGAGUCCGCGUCCCAUUAGCUAGUUGGUAGGGUAACGGCCUACCAAGGCGACGAUGGGUAGCUGGUCUGAGAGGAUGAUCAGCCACACUGGAACUGAGACACGGUCCAG
rnacentral:rRNA from 1 species